rnacentral:rRNA from 1 species
AUUGAACGCUGGCGGCAGGCCUAACACAUGCAAGUCGAACGAGUGGCGGACGGGUGAGUAAUGUAUGGGAAACUGCCUGAGAGAGGGAACUAACUACUGGAAACGGUAGCUAAUACCGCAUACCAUCAGAUGUGCCCAGAUGGGAUUAGCUAGGAGGUGGGUUAACGGCUCACAUAGGAGACGAUCCCUAGCUGUGCUUAGAGGAUGAACAGCCACACUGGAGCUGAGACACGGUCCAGACUCCUACGGGAGGCAGCAGUGGGGAAUAUUGCACAAUGGGCGCAAGCCUGAUGCAGCCAUGCCGCGUGUAUGAAGAAGGCCUUCGGGUUGUAAAGUACUUUCAGCGGGGAGGCGUUACCCGCAGAAGAAGCACCGGCUAACUCCGUGCCAGCAGCCGCGGUAAUUC